ACAGCUGAUCACUUCUGCCACUACAGACAAGAACACCCUGCUUGAUCUCAUUUUCAUUUCUCAGCCACAGCAAUGUCUCCAUUCAGGUGUCCUGAGAACAUAUUACAGUUACCACAACCCUGUGUUUUGUGUCCUGUCCUCCAGCCAAUCAUGAAGUCGUCUGCCACAGCAAAGUCUCCAUUCAGGUGUCCUGGGAACUAAUUACAGUUACCACAACCCUGUAUUCUGUGUCCUGUCCUCAAGUCAAUCAUGAAGUCUUCUGCUGAACCAACAUCAUCUUUAACACCAUAUUCAUGAACUCCUGAUCCCAACCUCAUCCAUCACUGCUGGACAACACAGAGACUAGAUGCCAAAUACAGACUGCUGCCUUUAUAACCUGCCAUACCAGUGUAUCUUCAGCGGAGAAGAUGACACACUCAUCACUCUACCUGCUAAUUCAUCUGCAGACCAUCACCAUUUUGCCACACUCCACACCUCUGAAACCAUCACUGAUGAGUUAUGCUGAAAAAUCUGUACUUCCUGUCACGCUACAGUGAUCCUGAGACCAAAGAGAGCUAUUGUUGUCUUGUGAAUUCUUCCAUUUCACAACUGACACAUUAAAACCUCAUCACAGAGCUCUUGUCUAUUCUCACCAUCAUGUGACUGUCAGAUUGCUCUGGACCCUGGACCUGCAACAAAUAUGAGUGACCAUCUUUUGUGACUUCAUUGCUACUGAUCAACCACCUUGGUCCAGGAAGAUAAGAGGGCUGCAGCCAAUCUUUGAAUCAGUUUGUAUCACCAGAAUUAACAAACGAUAUCAGAUAUAUGAAAAUGAGCUUUCAACAAAUGUGGAUUAUUUUUUUUAUUGUGUCUUGACUGUGUUGCAAGAAUCUAUAUAACUUGUUUGUGAAAAUAGUAGAUUCACAUUUUUCUUAACUCUGUAAGAAUAGCAGGCUGGAUUCAUACAAACACACAGCUUUCAAUCUUCAGUUGUAGACUACACAAUAUUAAUCAUGUAAUUCUUUUUGAGAAUGAGAAAAACAAACAAACACUGCAGUGAUCCAUUCUCUUAAUGUUUCUAAUUUGAAAUGUGAAAAAAUGCAUAUUGAACAUGAUAAAUCAUUACAUCUCAUAUAGUGUUUGUUUGAAUCCUCCCUUCAUAUGGGGUGUCAAUUAGUAUAUGAGUACAGAACUUGUGUAACACUGCUUUCUCCACAUUCUUUUUUAUAGUAUUCUAAUAUAUAGGUAGUUGCACACACAUACUGCAGGAUCUUAAUGGUAAAGUCUGUUUCAAAAUGAACCCCUGCUUCUCAGACCAUGAUUAACAAUCCCCUGUAGCUGUUGAAAAGUGCAUAGUUAAAAUCUACUGAUAUGAAUUACUGUUUAUCAUUUCUUUUGAGGAAACACAGCUGACUUCAGUUUACAUAACAGUGCAACCAUAACUUUCAUGUAUAUGACUUUACAGUUACUUUAUGAGAGAUUCCCAGCUACGGCACAUUGGUAGCAGCAAUAUGUCAAAACCCUUUACAAGUUAAAACAAAGAAUCAUUCACUGUCUAAGAAAAGGCAGUGAUUUAUUUCCCAUCGAAUUGAUUUCACAA